UGAGAGCCAAAUGGGCGGGAAGUACUGGCGGCAUAGGGGCAAAUAGGGAAACCGGAGACAGAGGCCUGAUCGCUGGCCAAAAUAUCAUCUACACCUACACACAGUACAUUACCACAACUUUCCCUUGGUUACCUCAUGAAGCCACCCACACUACCUAAACUUCGGUUAAGUUGUAUAGCCCUGUACUAUACAUGGUCUUAUGAUAGGAAAUGUAUGAUAUGUGGAGCUGUUGGUUUUCUGUAACCGUUUACUUUACACAUUGAUGCCCUAUGCGAAUGGUACUGUGGAUGAAUCAUUU